rnacentral:rRNA from 1 species
AACGAACGCUGGCGGCAUGCCUAACACAUGCAAGUCGAGCGCCCGUAGCAAUACGGGAGCGGCGCACGGGUGAGUAGCGCGUGGGAACCUGCCCAGAGGUUCGGGACAACCGCGGGAAACUGCGGCUGAUACCGGAUGAUGCCUGAGGGCCAAAGAUUUAUCGCCUUUGGAGGGCCGCGUCGGAUUAGGUAGUUGGUGAGGUAACGGCUCACCAAGCCUGUGAUCCGUAGCUGGUCUGAGAGGAUGAUCAGCCACACUGGGACUGAGACACGGCCCAGACUCCUACGGGAGGCAGCAGUAGGGAAUCUUGCGCAAUGGGCGAAAGCCUGACGCAGCCAUGCCGCGUGAAUGAUGAA